AUACGGAGGGUGCAAGCGUUAUCCGGAAUCAUUGGGUUUAAAGGGUCCGUAGGCGGACUAAUAAGUCAGGGGUGAAAUCCCACAGCUUAACUGUGGAACUGCCUUUGAUACUGUUAGUCUUGAGUUAUAUGGAAGUAGAUAGAAUGUGUAGUGUAGCGGUGAAAUGCUUAGAGAUUACACAGAAUACCGAUUGCGAAGGCAGUCUACUACAUUUAUACUGACGCUAAUGGACGAAAGCGUGGGGAGCGAACAGGAUUAGAUACCCCAGUAGUCC
rnacentral:rRNA from 1 species